UGACGUCAAGUCACCAGGUGAUCCAAAGUUUAUGGAUGCAUUUGAUAUUUUCCGAGUAGCAGUUUGUUUCUUGUGGAAUACAGGCGUGUAAAGAUCGCGAUUUACUUUUGUUUUUGUUACCCACGGAAGAAUCAUAAGGAAACUUUUGUUUUUUAUUUACGUUAUUUUGAAUUGUGAAUAACAUUAUGUAUUUAAACAUUGUAUAUGUAUUAUGCAAUAUUAUGUGGUGGAAUAAUUUUCACAAAAUAA